AUUGAACGCUGGCGGCAUGCCUUACACAUGCAAGUCGAACGGCAUCGCGGGAAAGCUUGCUUUCCUGGCGGCGAGUGGCGAACGGGUGAGUAACACAUCGGAACGUACCGGCUAGUGGGGGAUAACCCGUCGAAAGACGGGCUAAUACCGCCUACGCUCUUCGGAGGAAAGCAGGGGACCUUUGGGCCUUGCGCUAGUCGAGCGGCCGAUGUCCGAUUAGCUAGUUGGUGGGGUAAAGGCCUACCAAGGCGACGAUCGGUAGCGGGUCUGAGAGGACGAUCCGCCACACUGGGACUGAGACACGGCCCAGACUCCUACGGGAGGCAGCAGUGGGGAAUCUUGGACAAUGGGGGCAACCCUGAUCCAGCAAUGCCGCGUGGGUGAAGAAGGCCUUCGGGUUGUAAAGCCCUUUCGGCAGGGAAGAAAUCGGCGGGGCGAAUAACCCUGCUGGAUGACGGUACCUGCAGAAGAAGCACCGGCUAACUACGUG
rnacentral:rRNA from 1 species